rnacentral:lncRNA from 1 species
GGAGGCCGGGUGGGGCCACUUGGCCGGGCAGCCACGCCGCGGUCUGGGACUGUCCUGAAGGUGAAUUCCAGUGCCCCGGAAGGAAUGACAGGCAGCGGAGUCCUGCCAUCUCCUCCGAAAAAUGUCUGCUGUGGGAUGAGAUCAACUACCAUUGCCAUGUUGUUUGCUGUUUGGAGCUGGUAUGAUUCUAGGUUUGGUUGGAAGGCUGCAGGGUACAUGCUUGGUUUAAUGGAGGUCAUGGCUAUUGCUAGAGAGCCUAGAAGUCACUGCUCCACUGAAGGACUGGGAUCCAAAGAUAUUCCUUGUUCCCAAUGGCCAAGUCUUGAUAACAGGAGUGGCAUCCUGUGAAGAUGGAUUGCGAGAACUUUCACUGGAGCCCAGCACCUUGAGGAUAUCAAGAGGCUAAAACUAUGACUAACACGAAGAACUAUUAGGAAAACCUAUUUUAGCUUGAUGGUAGAAAUAACUGAGUAAAUACUAGCCAUGUCCGCACACAGAUUAGGUGCCAGUAUAAGUCUUUGAAGUCCUCAUUACCUGCAGGUACUCCAGCAGAUUCUCAGGUCACUACUUCGGGGUGUUAUGAUGAGAAUUCACGUAUUCCAUGGAGGGUGACAUUCAACAGCCUUGUAAAUGGCUUCCUUUCUAAGGCUCAAUGCUUCCGAGUAGAUGAAAGUGUGUUAAUUUGUCUAUGUGGUCAUUACAGAAUUGAUGGUAGGACCAUUAAGCAUCCUUCAAAGGCAAAAACGCAGUGUGCCUUAUAGUCAACACAUUUCCACAUGCUCCAAGGAAUCUGAGGGUAUGCAUGUGUCUUAACAAAG